rnacentral:rRNA from 1 species
GAUGAACGCUAGCGACAGGCCUAACACAUGCAAGUCGAGGGGCAGCGGGGAAGUGCUUGCACUUUUGCCGGCGACCGGCGCACGGGUGAGUAACACGUAUGCAACCUGCCUGUAUCCGGGAGAUAAUCGGGAGAAAUUUCGUCUAAUAUCGCAUAAUACCCUUGAAGGGCAUCCUUUUAGGGUUAAAAAUUUAUUGGAUACAGAUGGGCAUGCGGGACAUUAGCUAGUUGGCGGGGUAACGGCCUACCAAGGCGACGAUGUCUAGGGGUUCUGAGAGGAAGGUCCCCCACAUUGGUACUGAGACACGGACCAAACUCCUACGGGAGGCAGCAGUGAGGAAUAUUGGUCAAUGGACGAGAGUCUGAACCAGCCAAGUCGCGUGAAGGAUGAAGGUUCUAUGGAUUGUAAACUUCUUUUGUCAGAGAGCAACAGACGCCACGAGUGGUGUUGUGAGAGUAUCUGAAGAAAAAGCAUCGGCUAACUCCGUGCCAGCAGCCGCGGCAAUACGGAGGAUGCGAGCGUUAUCCGGAUUUAUUGGGUUUAAAGGGUGCGUAGGCUGCAACAAAAGUCAGCGGUAAAAUUUCGGGGCUCAACCUCGUUCGGCCGUUGAAACUUUGUAGCUAGAGUACAUUUGAGGUAAGCGGAAUGCGCGGUGUAGCGGUGAAAUGCAUAGAUAUCACGCAGAACUCCAAUUGCGAAGGCAGCUUACCAAACUGUAACUGACGCUGAGGCACGAAAGUGUGGGUAUCGAACAGGAUUAGAUACCCUGGUAGUCCACACAGUAAACGAUGAAUACUCGCUGUUCGAGUCAAUUGAGACUUGAGUAGCCAAGCGAAAGCGUUAAGUAUUCCACCUGGGGAGUACGCCGGCAACGGUGAAACUCAAAGGAAUUGACGGGGGCCCGCACAAGCGGAGGAACAUGUGGUUUAAUUCGAUGAUACGCGAGGAACCUUACCCGGGCUCAAACGACAGAGGAAUUACGGAGAGACCCGUAAGCCGGCAACGGCCACUGUCGAGGUGCUGCAUGGUUGUCGUCAGCUCGUGCCGUGAGGUGUCGGCUUAAGUGCCAUAACGAGCGCAACCCCCAUUUUCAGUUGCUAACAGGUCAAGCUGAGCACUCUGGAGAGACUGCCUGCGCAAGCAGUGAGGAAGGCGGGGAUGACGUCAAAUCAGCACGGCCCUUACGUCCGGGGCGACACACGUGUUACAAUGGCGAGGUACAGCGAGAAGCCACCUGGCGACAGGGAGCAGAUCUAUAAAACUCGUCUCAGUUCGGAUUGGAGUCUGCAACUCGACUCCAUGAAGCUGGAUUCGCUAGUAAUCGCGCAUCAGCCACGGCGCGGUGAAUACGUUCCCGGGCCU